UUUCAAAUAUUCAAUUUAUCCAGGUACAACUACCAAAGCUGGGCCUGGAAUAUCAGACACUGCCCUGGCUCACAUUCUCAGACCUCUCUCACCGAUGUGUGUGCCGGAAGAUUAUGGUGAAUCGGACUCUGUUGGGAUCACAUGUCCACCCCUGGGACUUCUACGUUUGUUGACUCUUCCCCUGGACAUUUUAAGGCUUUUUUUAGGUUUUUCUAAGAGGAAUAAACCCACACAAAUAAGGUGAUGGACAUCCCAUAUCAAGAUUACAUUGCCCAC